rnacentral:rRNA from 1 species
UACGUAGGGUGCAAGCGUUAAUCGGAAUUACUGGGCGUAAAGCGUGCGCAGGCGGUUUUGUAAGUCUGUCGUGAAAGCCCCGGGCUCAACCUGGGAAUGGCGAUGGAGACUGCAAGGCUAGAGUGUGUCAGAGGGGGGUAGAAUUCCACGUGUAGCAGUGAAAUGCGUAGAUAUCGAGAGGAACACCAGUGGCGAAGGCGAGUCCCUGGACACUUCCUGACACUGAGGCACGAAAGCUAGGGGAGCAAACAGG